AUGGCCCCAAAUUGUCACCCUGUGCCCUUCACAUCCCCCUCCUGUGCUGGGGGCGCUGCCAGGGGGUUCCAGAACCUUCCGGAGCACCCAGCCCGGGACACGCCCGGAUCCGGCUUUGCCUCAUCCCCAUCUCCCCUUUUUCCCGCAGGGCUCCGGGUGGCCGUGACCCUGCUGGAGUCCGGGGGGGACCUCCAGCCCCCCGGGGGGUCCCUGCGCCUCCUCUGCCGCGCCUCCGGAUUUGAGUUUGGGAAUUUUGGGAUGUUCUGGAUCCGCCAGAAACCCGGGAAGGCGCUGGAAUGGGUGGCGAGCAUUGACAGCGAUAGCUACGCCUGGUACGCGCCAUCCGUGAAAGGCCGGUUCACCAUCGCCAGGGACAACGGGCAGAGCUCGGUGACGCUGAGCAUGAACAACCUCCAGGACGAGGAUUCCGGGGUUUAUUUCUGCGCCAAAUCUUCUCAGGCUAAUGCUGGUUAUCAAGCUUAUCGUGCCGGGCUCGCUCUGGCCUCGGCUGAGAGGGGAGAGUUGGGGCAGCAGGGGCAGAGUUUGGGGUGA